GGAGAGGUGGCCGAGUGGUCUAAGGCGCAGCACUGGAAAUGCUGUGUGGGGGCAACUUCACCGUGGGUUCGAAUCCCACCCUCUCCG
rnacentral:tRNA from 1 species